AUGUGUAUGUGUGUGGGGGGGGUGGUAGGGUGUGGGGGGUGUUUAUGUGGAGUUGUGGGGGUGGGGGUGGGGGUGGUGGGGGGUGGUAUGUGUGGGUGGGGGGGAUGUGUGAUGUGUGCGUGUGUGUGUUUUCAGAUGGAAAGCUUUAAGUGCUGCGACAAUGGUAGCCAAGGAAGAACGCAUAAAUAUGUGUGGAGUGAAGACACUAACCUUUUCCCAUGUCUAAGAGAGGCUGGUGGUUUUCUCUUGUGCACGGGAGUCUCCUGAAUACCCCCCCGCCUCCUGAAACUCCAGUGAGUUUAGAAAUGGGAGAACUGGGGCAUUUCAGCCUGGCAGCAGCUUCAGGCAGCACCAAGUAAGUCCGCGCAGGGGCAGGAGGCUGCCCAAGGCUAGGAAGAACACCUAGAGUUGUCCCUAGGAUAGAAAAUCAGCCCAUUGGCCUGAGGCACACUGUUUUAGGCACAGUGAAAGAGUGCUUGAUUUGGAAUUCCUAUGUUUAACUUCCCCCUCACUACCACUUAUUAUCUGUGGCCUCGGUUUCCUGCUUCAGAAAAUGAAAUGGGGUGGGGGGAACUCAAUGACCUUGAAAGUCCCAUCUAGCUCUGCAUAUGUGAUUCUGUGAUCUUGCCUGCUGUAAUUAGGGAGCCAGCUGGGAAAGGGGUAAGUUGGCUUUGCCAGCAGGCCUUAAAAAAGACCUGAGGCUUGUAGGAAUACAGUCAGUCUAAACUCCUCCUCAUCAACUCAAAAGGGGUCUGAUUUGUUUCAGUCUUAUACUGAAACAAUGAGGGAUGGUCUUGGCCCCCCAGCCUCACUAAAGAAUACUAAGCAAUAUUAAGCUUCUUAUAAGCCUUUGAAGGGUUUACAGUUAAAACACACGCACACACACACACACACACACACACACACACACACAGAGACAAAAGCCACAGAAGCCAUACAACCAAAUCAAAAGCACUGAAGAAAAAUAUAGUUAUGCUCUCUUUAUUCUGUGCACCUAAGUGCAUUGUGGGGGAAGAGUUAUAGGAGUCCUAUGACCAGACAGUGGAGCUUGAAGGAAACUGUCUCUUCUAUUUUAUCAGAAAGAUGAGAAAGGCAAUCCUUAGACUGAAAAAAAAAAGCCCCUUUUCCCACCAACCAAAACCAUCCAAGAGGUUCCAACAAAUACAGUUUUCAUUAUCCCUGGGGCUUGUUAGGCAGCAUAGGUAGAUAGAAUGCUGGACUUGGAGUCAGGAAGACCUGAGGUUGACUCAUGCCACAUAGAUACUAG
rnacentral:lncRNA from 1 species